rnacentral:rRNA from 1 species
AUGGACAUGGCUGCCUCCGUUUCCUCCUGGGUUCCACCUUCUCUUCCCGAGUCCGCCGCCGCCGCCGCCUCAGGCUUGGUCCUCCUCGACAGGUGGUGCUACAUCGCCGACCUUCCCAACAACACCACCGCCGAGGGCACCACCAGCACCGGCUUGCCUAUCAAGGUGACCCUCCGCGCCGCCCGCCCGCCACAUCUCUCCCACUUCUGUGUCCACUGCCCUGGCCUCGACUUCCGCAGAACAGGGCCCAAGAUUGUCGCCACCGACGCACAUCUCGUCCUCCUCUGCGUUCCCAUCCACCCCAACAGCGCCACCGGAGCAUCGGACUGGGACUACUUCGUCUACAGCCCGCGCGCCCAGCGGCUAGACCCCAUAUGCCUCGACGACUCCGCAACUGCCCUCAUUAGCCGCCAAGACGGCGCUUGCUAUGCCGUCGCUGCUCUCGGUUACGCUAACCCCCUGUACGAUGGCGGCGCGCUCAUUAGGUGGGAGUUCCGCCUCCACCUCUACAGAUCCUCAUCAAAUUCUAAAGCUUGGGUCUCCAAGCGCUUGUCACUGAAUAAGUUCAAGAGGGACAAGCUCAUCCCUUUACCUGCAGCAGUCGACAGGCUAUACCACGAGACGGGGAAGACCAUCACAAUUGGUGGCGAGCAUGGCACGGUCGCCUGGGUGGACCUCUGGCGUGGCAUCUUCUUUUGCGACGUGCUCAAGAAACGCCCACUGCUCCGGGAUGUUCCACUGCCGGUGCCGGCAAGGUCUAACUGGGAUCGCCUCCUCAGAAAUGAUGACCCCGGCUAUUUCCGGGACGUAACUAUCAGCCGAAACAAAGACUCGAUCAAAUAUGUUGAGUUGGAAUUCCGGUCAAUAGAAGUGCUCAACCCCGCCACCACCCCUGUUUCCUAUACCGACUGGGUGGCGGUGCAGAAUUCCUCAAGGAAAUCUCAUCAGGUCAUCCGUGAUGGCUGGAAGUCCACAACAUGGAGCAUGGCAAUACCGGUUGGUUUGCAGGAGCGCUGGAACCAUGACUGUGUAUUUGAUGUUAAAGAUGUCAGCUUGGAGCCAUGCCUUUCUGAUCCCAUGACUAUGCUGAGCAGCAAGACCAUGCAAGAACUUCAAGUGGGAUACCCCAUCCUAAGCAUGGAUGAUGACGUCGUUUACUUGCUUUCUGAAACCACACCCAAGCACAUGGACAAGUUGGCACUGAUGUUUGCUAUUGAUGUGAGGAAGUCAACACUGCGAGGAUUGGCUGAGCUUGAUGUCAAGAAGUUCAAUUACUUGUCCAGCUUCUGCACUAGUGAGAUCUGCAGGGGUACCUGA